GCGUAAUAACCACCGACCGCUUGGAAGACAAACGAUGUCAUCUUCCUUCUGUCAGAGCAGGAAGGGCAGCCUGGAGAGAAAGAGAAGCCGGGUUGAGCCCACUACCAUCAUCCACGUACCACGAGGAAGAUGAGGGAGAGAAAUGAUCCUACCAUUAAAGAGACUGUGAAAAGAACGUUGAGAACAUCACCACUCUACAGGAAGACACAGUCCAGUAAUGGGUGUCAGAAGUUCAGUAGUGAAUGACGGGUACUGUGGAAAAAUGUGUGUCAUUGUUGUACAAUGUCCUUUGACUCUGUUUACACAAGGUUAACACAAAAAGGUUUGAUUGUAAACUGAUAUUGGUAUGAAUUCAUGUUAUUCUCCUCUUCACAAGAAACAAACAAUCCAAAUUACCUGCAGAAAGCCCUUGAUGGACGCUUCAGGAGCAUUGUCAGACUGGCCAGACAGCAAGAUGCCAACUUUAAUGCCAAUUUAUUUGUGUAACAUUCUGUGACCAAAUGUAUAGAUAACUUUUUGUAGAUUGUAAAAAAAGAUAACCCAUUUAUUAAAAAAAAACUACAGUAGAAUUACCGCACUGCGUUGUAUGACUCCGCUAACCAGUGCAGUGUCCGUCUACAUAUUUCUACAUAUUUUCUCUCGUAUAAAUGACACUGUAUCUCUUGACAACUGAAACCAUAAGAUGAGGUCAGUGUGGCCUUGACCUUUUGACUUUAACACAAAUACACAG